CAAUACGUGAACAUGCCAGUUAUAGCUAGCUAAUAAAGAGCUACGUUAAGAAAUAUCCUGUAGUACUGCAUUAUAUUAUUUUGUACAAAAUGUACAAAACAUGGUGUCAGAGUAAAAGGUCUUAAAAUAUGAAUUUUUCUGGAGUUCCUUUACCUCGAAUGGACUGGGACUCUACAAAUUUACCCAAUGCAUGGCGUAAGUACAAACAGCAUGUGAAGCUAAUGUUCACGGGUCCUCUGAAGGACAGAGGAGAAGAGGAAAAGUGCAGCUACCUGCUCCUCUGAAUCGGUGAAAAAGGAGAGAUAUUUACAACACAUGGACACUUACCGAGGCUGAAUCAAAGCUUGGAACCUCACAGCAGAGAGCCAGGAGCUGCAGCACGGGUCAGACUCACAGCUGAGAGCACGGUCAGAGCACACAGCUGGCAGUGAUAUGUCACAACAUAUUGGUUUCCUAGUCCCCACUACCUGGCAGUGAUGUCAGUUCGACCAUAGGUCUCCAAGCAACAUUGAGAAUGGAAUGGUCCAGCCACAAGACGACGCCGACGAGAGGGACGACCCCGAGGACGAGGAGCAGGUGGCGAAGGUGGAAAUCACGGAUGAUGUUGGGAUCCAGAAUGUCCUACACCGGAACCCAACAUCGACAACCCGGAACCCAACAUCACGUGAGCUUCGCUCCACACUUAUGCGCACCUGAAGCACUCGUCAACCGCAGGAGCUUCGGUCUGGCCCAGGGUCCACGGAGCCGAGGACGAGCAUACCAACCCUACCAUGUCACAACACAUUGGUUGGCUGAAACACAUUAUGAAGCAAAUUAACUUUCAACAAGGCACACCUGUUAAUUCAAAUGCAUUCCAGGUGACUACCUCAUGAAGCAGGUUGAGAGAAUGCCAAGAGUGUGCAACGCUGUCAUCAAGGCAAAGGGUGGCUACUUUGAGGAAUCUGAAAUUGAUUUUGAUUUGUUUAAUUAACACUCUUUUGCUUACUACAUGAUUCCAUAUGUGUUAUUUCAUAGUUUUGAUGUCUUCACUAUUAUACAAUGUAGAAAAUAGUAAAACAUUAAGAACCCUU
ensembl:lncRNA